UACGUAGGCAGCAAGCGUUGUUCGGAGUUACUGGGCGUAAAGGGUGUGUAGGCGGUUGUUUAAGUUUGGUGUGAAAUCUCCCGGCUCAACUGGGAGGGUGCGCCGAAUACUGAAUGACUAGAGUGCGGGAGAGGUGAGUGGAAUUCCUGGUGUAGCGGUGAAAUGCGUAGAUAUCAGGAGGAACACCGGUGGUGUAGACGGCUCACUGGACCGUAACUGACGCUGAGACACGAAAGUGUGGGGAGCGAACCGG
rnacentral:rRNA from 1 species